UGGCAGAUGUUAAGGCCUGACUUCUGCUCCCAGUCGACCCAGUCGACCCGGGUUGAAAUCCGCCUGCCGGCUCCUCGGGUGUUUGAGGAGUGGUGAAAUGGGAGGUGGCCCCAUCAUAUGGACGAUGUAGGACGUGAUAAAAUCAACUUGCGAGCUGACCAGGAACUAAGUUGAUGCGCCGUUGAUCCGCUAGAUUUGGUUGGAUGCUGGUGGUGAGUUGCCGAACCCAACGAAUACAUUCGGAAGUCGGAUGGGGUGAACGGAUUAGGGUGCCCCUCUAGCGGGGGAGAGCAGGGACUGCCCUGUAACAACAUACAUACAGACUAGGGUUUGGCACCACUGGUAAGGCGCGACCAUUGCCCCCGGGAAAUCCCAGGAUCGAUACCCGUUAGAGUCAUAGUCCUUCCGAUGGUGGAAGGCACUGCGCCCCUAGUUAAUGGACGUUGGUGACCUGAGAUUAAGUUAAUCUGCGAGCCGACCAGGAAUAGAGUUGCGCCGUUGGAUGCUGGUGGUGGGUGCGGAACCUAAGCGGUCCACUGAGAAGUUGACUAGGGUGACUGGAUGAGGGUGCCCCGAAAUACCGGGGAAGGCAGGGUUUCGCAGGGUAGCUGCCACGGGCGAAGAUACACCCCCCUGUUUCACACAUCAUACAGACAAGCCCUGAAUCAUAAGCGUCACGUUGCAUCUUACAAUUGCUCCACGCUCAUUGUAUUGCACUUGCUUUUGCACCUUCAAUUGCAUGACAAGCAAACUGUAUUAGCUGUCGUACAGUACGGCGCACACUGCCAAUACAUGCACUAUAUAUUCUGAUACGAACUUGAUUAUGAUGGACAGCGAGCAAACGUAACUUUCCCACCCGGUACAUAACAUUUGGCUCACGCACUCGUCUCCACGCAGGCGGUCAUAGUUGACUAGUGUCAAUAUUUUUCGUGUGUAUACUUGAACUUUUGCGUUGUACUAUGUCCUUUACAGAACUUGUGCAUCUUAGGCUCUUAGCCCCUGGCUCGUAUGGGCACUCGUUACAUCUCUCGGGAAACGUAACCGAGAUGUAAUACACAUACACACACACGCGUUAAGGUGCAUCCCAAACAUCUAUAUCGGCCUUUUCAGCGGCCAGCCAGCAGGUACUACAAGGCACAUCCGCGGUAGCCAGUUCCCUUCGUUGGCAACCCCCACGGGCCGCUGCCAUGCACGUGCUUGCACUUGUCUACAUGUAGGUCGGUGUCUGCAACACGCUGCUGUACACUGCUCAAUGCACCGCUGGUUUCUAUCUUUCGUUCACCUGUGUUCCAUCUAUGGAUAGACUUGUGCAGUUGCUGGCGGUUAGUGAUGAUUAGUAACGGUAUUUACAGAGGAUGGAGACACUCAGGGCAAGAGAGCACACAUCGACGUUACCACGUAGCGAAUGGCGGUUUGGCCGAUGUUAGCUAUGUAUGUCGUGUUGUGUUUGCCAUUACUACUGAUUAUUCAACAUCGUUAAACAAUGGCAAUCUGGGGGAUUAUUAGCGAUAGAAACUCAGUAAUAAGCAGGAGGUGCUGCUAGCUGCUGAUCGAGUGCUGAUCCUUAAUAAGGGAUACGACAGUGCAUGGGGCACGCAGAUUUUAGCACACACAUACAUACAGCAGUUUUAACCAUGGUAUACUUCUGGCUUUGAGUGGUUUCGGAAUCAGUGGUCUGGCUUCGAGUUGGUGGCCACGUUUACAAUCGGCUGGUCGCUCGGGGCAGGUGACUUGUGCGCCAUCCGUGCCCGGUUAGUCCUUAGCGAGCCCUGGGCAGUCCUCUCGAUGAAUCGCUGGUUUCUGCGCUUCAUGUAGCUUAGGAGCGGUGGCUUUGUCAAUUUUAGUUGUUGCGUGUUGCGUGCGUUACUGAUCUCAGCCUUGACUGAAGGGGUCAAAAGGACAACCGGCGGGAGCACGAUCUGCCGUAAUUCGGUACGGCACACACAAGGGCAAGGGCAUAGCUCAAAAAUAGUUUAUAAAUUUCGCCUGCUGGGACAGGACAGAAUAGGCGCUGCCGAAGAGGACAGUAGAUGAAUACACCACAACCUUGGAAGUCGGAGUUCCAGUCGUACCGUCUCAUUGGUUUACCAACGUCCUUCUUUCGACUGAUUGUGUUCCUACGCUCCCUCUAUAUCAACGCCCUUGGGCCUUCGGCUCGUAUGAGGUAGUUUUACAGGUAUGGGGUCACGCACCCCCAACCAUGUAACACACACAUAUCAAUGCUCUCUCCUUGUUCGCGGAUAGCCACGGUUAGCUAUACCGUUAGGUAGGAUGUUUAUCAGAGUGGCAUCCACCGCUCUGAUGUUUUCAAAACAGAAUAAAGCCAUUCCUCGUCACUUGAUAGAAUGGGUAUGCCAAAGCAUUACUGGGAUUAUAUUCCGCCGAACCAAUAUGCCUCCCUCAUGCGGUUUAGGAUAAUGGCUUUGUCACUAGCUGUCAGCACACUUUACGGAUGGUGUCGGGUGUGAGGUAGCCAGCAGGCAGUAAAAAGUAAGAAGCAUCACUAUCGAGUGACCCAAAUAUCGCUUAUUUCCUUGCAGAGACUGGGAACUUCGACCUUUGCUGGGAGAGAUAUGUAGAAUGGAAGUACGGCACUACGCCGGACGAACGUCCUCCUAUCCAUGCAGUUUGUUACGUUUUUUAUUUCUUCUGGUUUUGAGCACAAGAUAAAUAUAUGAAUUGGUUUGACGUCUGAUAGUUUUACUGCUUAGCUGAGACUUGACCUUCAACAUCCUUUGCUUAGACCUUUGCCGAACCGCCUUAGGCGGGCGUGCUGCUGUAGAUUGACUGCAAAUGUUUUAUAGCAAGUCAAGACCACAGCAUGCAGCCCGCACAAACGUCGCGCAGGUCCGCGGGACAAAGUUGGGCUUGGCACCGUGGUUCAAUUUAUAGAAAGCGAACAACUUUUGGCAACGUAUCUGCAGGCACAGCAAACGGAGAAACCAAAGGUGCCGGAGCUUGAGGAGUUCCUAACGAAGCGUGACUAUCUUGGAGCGAUUGCGUUGCUGUCUUUCCGACGGCAUGCUAAUCGGCAUGACGUUAAAAAUUUAGAAUGGUUAGCUUACUGCUACUUCCAUUACGGAGAGCACGACAAGGUGCGGACCACUCGGGCGCAUGCUUUGGGUACGCCUCACCUCCCAACAUCUUUACAGGAAGAGCCCAUUAUCCCGCCCACAGGCGCUGGCGAUUUACAAGGAGCUGCUGACUCAUGAUGACCCAGAUCCCAUGUAUUUCGUGUACUCCGCGGCGUGCCUCUACUACAUGGGGAUGUAUAAAGAGGCUGAAGAGACAGCGCAGCAGGUGCGCACGAACUUUUUCUAAGGGUUGCAACUUUGGGAUGCCUGUAUACGCAGCCCGGAAUCAUCGUCCUUGAAGCAACAACGUUGACCCUUUUUCCCCAACACAACCCCACGCAACCAACUAUUUUCCCGCGCAAAGGGGCCCAAGUGCGCGCUGCAGACUCGCAUUCUGUUCCACAGCGCACAGCGACAGGGUAACGAUGAUAAACUGAUGGCUUACCAUGGCCAGCUGACGGACUCCAUCGAGGACCAGCUCACCCUGGCGUCGAUUCACUACCAGCGCAGCCACUUUCAGGAGGUGCGUUUGCCACGGGCGGCUUGCGGUUACAGAGCUAUGCCAGGCCCUGGACCUCUGGGUGCUAGGAUGGAGUGGCGGGCCCGCAGACUGCGGCAGGGGCAUGAAUGGCAAGGCGUAGGCCGCCUGCAGCUAGUCGGUGGCCUGGUGGCCAUCACGGUCUCCACAGGCGCUGAACUAGGGCCAAUUGCUGUACCUGGGCCGGGUCGGCGUUUCCGGUGCCUCUCAUAGCGCGGGCUUUGCUUCGUGGAGCUUGGCAGGCCUGGACCAGGUUGAUUGCGGGUUGCGUGCGAUUGAACCACCUAGUCCAGGACGGGAGGUCACGCAACCAAGCAAGGCCCAUAGGCAGUUUACAUCUUUGAUGCUGGCUGCUCUGCCUCUCUGGCGCCGCCAGGGCGAAGGGGGCUUUGCGUCUUAGGCUUCAGGCUGGAUACAUGCAUACACGACAGGCGGACCGGCCUGUGCCCGUGUUCCCUCUACGGAAUUUCUUGCAAUGUUGCGGAUCCCAGCAUGGACGCGCCUGUCCACUGGUGCACAUGUAAUGCACCCAGCGGAUCCCAGCGCAAGUGUUAGCAGGGUACAUAGUUAAGAUCUACCGUACAUUUGUGACCUGUUACAAUGCAGGCGACGGACAUCUACAAGCGGCUGCUGCUGGAGCACCGAGAUUACUUGGCCUUGAACGUGAGCGUGAACUGGGCUUUUGUGUCCUCUGCCUUGAAUGGGGCGUUUGGCAUCUGUGCGGAGUGGACUUUGAGGUACUGGCCGAGGAUGUGGCCGAUGGAUGAACCAUCCGGCCUGGCAAGGCGAAGGGUGCUAGGUAGUAGGACGAAAGACCUGUCGGUACAGACACACGAGACCCCAGACUCGACUGUCGGCGAAGGUUGGAUUCGAAGGUCUCCUUAGCAUAUAGUUGCAGCCAUGCUGGCGGUGUUUUGUCGCAGUGGUAAAACGGUCAAGUGGGGAAGGAUUGAGGGGGUCUAGGAAGCCUAGAUGUCAGAGGCCUCCUGAGCGCUGACCGUACACGUGGCGAAAUCCUCCCUGCACUUUGCUUGCCUGCCCGUAUAAAGCAUCUCCGGAAGCCUGCAUGGUGCGGCACAUACAUGGCAACAACCUUCACUGCCUUUCCAUUCCUCGUGAUUUUCCUACUUUCGUGCCUUCAUACAGUCCCUAGGCGUUCCCGGCGUCCUUGUCGCUCAUGCGUUCUUCCCGUGUGGGGCCGUGUCCUUGCCAUUUAUGCGUUCUUCCCGCCGUGUCCUUGUCGGCGGUGUCCUCUCACGUCCUGCUGUCCUCUCACGUCGUCUCCUGCAGGUUUACGUUGCUCUGUGCUACUGCAAGCUGGACUACUACGAUGUCAGCUUGGAGAUUCUGGGGGUGUAUCUGAACGCCUUCCAGGACAGCGCCAUAGCCGUGAACCUCAAGGUGUGUGGCGCGCUUCGCGGUGGGGAGGCACUGGGGGUUCGGGGUGGGGAAGUGCUCCACGCGAUGUGUUGAACCUUUUUCGCUAGGCGCCUGAAGGGCAUAUGUAUAUGUGAGGUGGCUGUGGGCGCACUCCACCGGAAGGUACUGGGCUGCGUUGUUGCCAGCACAUGCAGCCCAUCCGGCGGCCGUACAACGUCCGCCUUGCAUUAGCCUCCGGGCAUUGCCCCGAUGAGGUGAGGUGCUUGCACCCCCUUCCAUAAGCAUCUAGUAAACUACAAGUCCGCCUGCCGCCCUGUCCCACAUCAACCCCGCUACAUCUUACCCCUGCUAUGCACUAAUGCGCAUCACACAAGUCCGCCGGGACUCUGCUGUAACACCUUUCCUAAGCCGUCGUGUAAAAGCCAUACCUAAUGGUAAGCUGGCAAUGAUAAAGUCGCCACGCCGGUUCUUUCAACCUGUUGCCCCGCUCCUCGCCCCAGGCCUGUAACCACUUCCGCAUGUACAACGGCAAGGCGGCGGAAGCAGAGCUCAAGACGCUGGCGGAGCUCAGUGGCGGCCAGCACUUGGACCACGACCUCAUUCGGCACAACCUCGUGGUGUUUAGAGGGGGCGAGAACGCACUCCAGGUAAGGGCGUGUGUGUGUGUGUGUGUGCUGAAAGGGGGCAUUGCUAGGUCGUGCGUGUUUACUCCGCCAGGGCGUUACGUGCCUGUUGCUUGGCGCGCCUGAGGGUGAUGUACCAUGUUCUGCCAAGAAGCCGCUGGCCUCGCUCCCUGGGUCGCUCAUUCGGGUGGGGAUUUCCUUGCGGCGGGUUUCCUGAUCCGUCCCCCGCUGCAGGUGCUGCCCCCGCUGGGCGACAUCCCGCCCGAGGCGCGGCUCAACCUGGUCAUCCACCACCUGCGCCACCACGAGAUUGGGGAGGCGUACAUGCUGAUCAAGGAUAUGGAACCGUCCACGCCUCCCGAGUUCAUCUUGAAGGUAGGCUGGCUGGAAGGCUGUUGCACCGAAGAUGCACUUUGGUUUCUGCACCGCAUUCAUUCUGCUGCCCUUGGCGCCAUCUGUAUAUGGGGCCAUCCGCCCAGACCUCCAACACACACACGCCCUCCACGUCUUCCAUCCUGGGGGGCUUCCUCUUGGCUGUAUCCAUCUGCCUGUGCAGCGAGAAGUUUCCUUUCAUCCCUAGACACCCUUGCCACGCGUCCCGUGCCACACCGCGCCCUGUCGUCACAUCGACCGUCCGCUCGGCUGCCUUCCUGCGUUGCAUCCUGCUUGCGUUGCUCCUCACCUCCACGCUCAUGCAUGCCUCAACUGUUGUGAGCCAGGCUAGCGCCGCGCGGAUACGGCAAGGCUACAGGAUAGGGGGACAUGUAGCACUCCUUAACCCUCUAGGCGCGCUAUUGAACAUGUUUUUGGAAUUUGAGGGCAGAGUGAAGGCAACCCUGGCGAUGAGGCUGUGGUCAUCUAAGCAAAUUCUCCAGUUAUCUGUUUUCGUGGCUUUGCACAGAGCGCACACCCGGCUGCGUUGCUGUGUGUUCGGCAUUGCCACUGCCCUCUACCACAAGCAGUGCCACUCUGUCCUGUCCAUCCCAUUCCCAUCCGUUUCUCCGGGCCCGCGCCUUUUGCCGAACAUUGUGGCCCAGAUCCGGAGCUGCCGCUUUUUCCAUUCCUGUCUCAUUCCUUCUCUCAUGCUGCCUCGUGUCCACCGCUUCCGCCGGCCCCGUCCCCUCCGUAGGCCGUGGUGCACGCGAUGCUGGGCCAGGCCAAGGGUGACCCGGAGCACCUUAAAAAGGCGCAACAGUACUACCAGCUGGUGGGCGCCUCCGCCUCGGAGUGUGACACCAUCCCUGGUCGGCAGUGCAUGGCCAGCUGCUUCUUCCUCCUCAAGCAGUUUGAGGACGUGCUGGUCUUCCUCUCGGUGCGUGUGGGGAGGCAAGGUGGGAGGCAGGGCAAGUAUGAUUGUCAUAUCGUGGAUUGAACACCACCCAGCAUUACCACACUAUACUUCGCCACACGAACUACAAAUCCAAGACGGUUGAUCCAGUAAACACCCGAAAAUCUGUAGAGUUAGAGGUUACAGCAAUCGCCUCCGAUCCCACAUGUGAUUUACAGUCCACCAGCUUGAUCACAUCUCCACAUCUUGGUAACUAGCCAUAAUGUUCCCCUCCCGGCGAUGUCGGACGACUACCUAGGAAUCAAACUCAGGUCGUUGAACCGCUUAUAGCAGUAGUGCUUUCAGAACAGACUGCAGGCAUAUGAAGACUUGCAUCCGGGCGGUCAUUUGCUGCAAAAUUUUGCUGUGUUCGAUUAUAGGCUAGCUGGUCAUUAAACCGGCUCUUGUUUUACGUCCUUGACCUCCUGGGCUUUUCCUUACGUGAAUAUGGUGUUGGCGGUCGUCGCGGUGGUGGUGGUGGGGCUGCUGCUGGUGCUGCAGUCGAUCAAGACGUAUUUCCUGAACGACGACGACUUCAACUGGAACAUGGGCAUCGCCAAGGCCGCCACCGGGAAGUACAAGGAGGCGGACGAGACACUGCUGCAGAUCCAGAACGACAAGUACCGGUGCGUGAAGUGAGGGGAAGGGGAUACACGGGUUAGCCGUAUGCCUGGCAUGGCAGCCAUCCGCGAGAUUGCAACGGCUGGCCGCCGCAGCCGCAGCUGCCGCAGCCGCAGCCGCCACUGCUGUUGUGGUAGUCUCCCUGCUGCUAUACUUCAAGAGACCUCCGCCCGGAGCAAAACACCUCUCACCGGACCGGUUAUGACUCCACGGGAAUGCAAACCCUCCUUGUCUGCUCCGCAUACACUCCCGGAGCUCUAGGUAAUCAUAACGACGCAACCCAUGGACUUACGCUGAGGCAUCCCUACCGGCGCAGGAACGAAUACUGUUACCUAUCUUGGCUAGCUCGGUGCUACAUCAUGAACGGCAAGAGCCGGCUGGCCUGGGAGCUGUACCUCCGACUGGAGACCAACGACGAGUCCUACCAGCUGCUGCAGCUCAUCGCCAACGACUGCUACAAGAUGGGCGCCUUCUACUUUGCGUGCAAGGUGAGAUACGGGACCGUGCGCGCGGUGAAGGCCAUGUAACGCGGACGUGUGGUCACAUAGGCGUACAUGUCGAGAUAAUGUGGCUUGUCAGUAGUUUACACUUAAAACCUGAGAAGAAUUGGUCUCGGGGAUUGUUGUUUUUGUGAUAUGUUCUGCUGGUAUAAUGUUCUGCUCAUGUAUAUAGUUUUAAGUCAUUAAUCCCGCCUCCAGGCGUUCGACGUGCUUGAGCGGCUGGACCCGGCGCCUGAGUACCUGGAAGGCAAGAAGGGUGCGGCCUGCGGCGCCUUCCAAAUGAUCGUCGCCGGCAAGGAGCCCAAGGUACGGUGGUGACUGGGGUGCUGCCAAGUCCUUGUUAUUUCCGGUUGGGUGCUGCCGUGCCAUGUUCGUGCUAGGUCGCAAAAGAGAGAUUCGGAGGGCUAGGCACGGGGCUCCAGGGCCCCUUUACGAGCUCUGUGGUAGCCGGCCGGCCCUUAAUGAUUACACAGGGAGGUGCUUGGCUUAUGUAGUACAAGCUGGCGUUUGUGUGUUGGUAGAAGAGGAUAACGGUGAGCUGCUUUUUCUGAGUUUGGAGGCUUAAUUUGUUAAUGAUCGCUGUGGAUGUAUUUUAGAUUUUAGAUAGACAGGCUUUGUGCAAUUCGCCCCAUUCGCCGUUUUGUUUCUUCUGGUCCUGUCCCGAUGCAAAGUAUCCACCAUUUCGGCUCCGACAGGACUCGCUUCGAGACAUUAUCACGUUGCUGCGUGGCAACAACAGCGCGGACCAGUGCGAGCCCAUUGUGGCAGUGAUGCGCAAAUGGGCCAAGAACAACGGUGUCAAGCUAUGAAGGGUGGUGCAGCGGCAGCACGCAUGGUGGAAGGCAUGGUGGAGAGGAGCAAAGAGGAAGAGCGGCGAAAGGGAUCGCAACGAGCAAAGGACCCAUGGGUCGGUGUUGGCCACGACGGCUGCAAGAUGCCCGGGAAUACGCCUCGGGUUGGUACACCGCGGACAGUAGGGACAAAGGUUUACCUCGUUCGGGGGCCAGGCGCAUCCAUGGCGGUGGGCCCUGUAGCACAUGUUUUAUCAUCUUACUCAAGGGUAACGAAAUUCACAGGCGAAAGGAACCACCGAUGACUUGCAGUAUUUCUUCUUCGCCACCUUGCGUGGUGGACAUGUAUGCAUGUACAUAUUUGGAUACGAUAUAGCAGGCUACAGAAUGUGCGGUGGGCGUUGAUAGCAGGGGGACGCUGGAGCUCCGACGUAUUUACUUCGUGGGUACUGGCGGUUUCUCGUACAGACCAGUGAUUUCUUUCCUAACUUAAGGCGUGCGUUUUCAGUGCGUAAUGCCGAGGCCUCGUAUGGUGCCUGGUUGGGGAAACAGCGUGCAUUGGUUGUUUGCGGGGUACAUAAUGCAACUCGCGCUGGGCAGUGGUCACGCGGCGGAAAAAAAGCUGUUGUGCUACUGCUUGGACCGUAGAGAGGUGGCUGCUGGAAAAGGAAGGAUUUGGUGUGGUGCAGCAUGACACGGACUGUAACGUCCAGGACGUCGAUAGAGCACAAAGGGGAGGCGGAGAUUAAGCUCAUGCCCUCUUUGCGGGUAUUUGUAAAUGUUGGUCCUGCGGUGCUGGCCUGUGACGUCGAAAAAACAAAUGGACAAAUUGCCAAGGCACGCAAAAUUACUGCCCAAGUUUACAUCCUGUGGACGGGACGAAUGUAUCACAACGCACUAAGACUGCUGAAGUCUUAUCCGGCCCUUCCAGCCAGAAGACACUGAACUAUUAGUCUCUAAUGCAGUGCGCGGCCCGCUGGCCCGCUGGCUCUACUCUUCGUGAGUCUGGAGCCCACUGUAACAACCAAACACAGACACUCGCGUACACGCCCGCCACGCCCGCUCGCGUACACGCCGCAAUAACCGCAAAAUUAAGUAUUUAAAAGCCCCGCCGGGGUAUUUCGCACAGUACAGCAGUACAGCUGCCCUAUGUUGGAACACCACAAUAGGUAGAUAUAAAAAAAUAGGUAGAUAAAAACAGUGUCCCAGAAGGUACGGUCCGCACGAAACACACAAAACUAUAUUAUGUCAAAAUUAAAGUUUGCACUUGACUCAACGUACAUGGAAUCUGUAUCACCAGCCAUGCAGUGUUGAGUCAGGAUCUUCCGUUAUGGCACUGCCGGCAGGGCGGGACUUGCUCGUCCUCCGGAAUGACAAGAGUUCAUGACGAGAAAUUCUUGCUUAAUUAAAGGCAACACACAGGCCAAAACCACCUACAAGGUCGUCUUCUGUUCAAUGAAAUACGAUUUCACUCGUAGGCAAAUGGAAGCAAGAAGGCAAGGAAUGGCAAUUACUGCUGCGAAUAGACACAUACGAUGUUCCAUACAUUGUGACAAAGGUACAAUCGCCUGCGCAAAGUUGUUUGUCGUCAUGUUAAGACCCUGCGCGCAAAGCAGUCCAGGACGCAUCAUUCGACCAACAGUCAUCAGAAUAUAAGAAAUUCGCUGAUCGAGAAAUCACCACGUGCGCAAUUUCCGCCAUGUAAAACUGCCAUUCUAGGCGAUUCAUCAUCAGAAGCUCCCGCGCACAGGUGAAACAAUCGCCAACUAGGCCUCCUAGCUUAGCCCCCACAGCCGCCGCCGCCGCAACCGCCACCGCAGCCACCACCGCCCCCUCCCCCCCCACCGCCACCGCCACCGCCACCGGCAUCCCCUCCGAAGCCACCACUAUCAACACCGAUACCGCCUCCGCCACCACAGCCGCCGCCACCUACCCAGCCGCCGCCGCCAUAACCGUCACCAUAAUAGUACCACCCUGUCAUGUACAACGUCGUAACAACGUAAUAAUCGCUCGAUCCGUACACGUAGCAGCCUUCGUGCUUGUGCGACCGAGUUUGAUACAUGUGCUGCAUACGUCCCACACCAUGACUCGCGGAGAUCUUCCAUGCCGACGAGUAUUGGCCCUCUACUUUGGGAUGUACGCUCUGCUGGGUAGCAAGGAUGCGCCACAAGGGCGAAUCAUAGCUGUCAGAGACCAUGGGGGCCGAACCCGCCUUCGGCGCUGGCACCAUCGCCGCAGCCAGCAGCGGCGUAAGACCCUUGAGGAGGUGCGACUCCCGCCCGCUGAGGUAAUCCGCCGGGUCGGAUGGCUUGAAGGCCGUCUCUGCCGUCGCCAUAGCCGGCUCAAGAGUUCCUGAUCAUGCACACGGUAGCGGGAUUUCAACUUCAGCAGCUCGCACGCGGGACUUGUCUGCCGUGUCGUUCCUAGGGUUUUGUUUUCCUAAUACUAGCCAGGGGAGCGCCGCUGGUGUUUGGGGCCUUUCCUGGCCUUGACGCGGACCUCACCUUGGGACAUAUGCAUCUGGGCCUUUCCUGGCCUAACAUACAUAACAUACAGUGUUGGGGCAGGGGCACCAGUGCCAAUCGUCUAGUACAAUUUGCAUAUUGCACGUAAAACCAUUCAUAUAUUAUAUUCAUCAUUCAUAUAUUCUACGUUAUAGUGCGCAUGGCAUUGUUAUGAUAUUGGCAUGGUUUGGGGCAUGGUCAGCACCGAUGAUCCGGUCGAAUCCACUGCGGCAUCAUUCAUUCUUCGUUCGUCCAUUCAUUCAUCCAUAUUUCCAUACUUCUGUUCCUUGGUGUUGGUGCUCACCUUUGAGAGAGGAGGGCUUGGGUUCCCAGGUUCCCACCCGCCGCGAGAUGGCCUUGAUGUAUGGGUGCUGUGAGGGAGGCGAAAAAGGGGAGGUGAGUACGGCAGGAACCAAAUACACCUAAGCGAGUGUGGAUGUCAGCCAAGUGCAAGAGGCUUCCAUUCGGCCCCGAAAAGGAGAUACAGCUUUGUUUGGGAAGCAGCAACAAAAUGUAGUGGUAGUAGCCUGGGCAGCCUGGGCAGCCUGGGCACCUGAAGCACCGCCCCGCAUGCCUGUGUGCAUGCGUGGAUGACGCGUGCUAUCGCCGUUAAUGAUGUUCAUGGAGCUUGACAUCGUGCGCAUGAUUGACCUGGUUCCGCCCAGACUUGCCCGGAACCAGCAUCGGAAAACAAACCCAUUCAAUUCCAAGGACGACAUGAGCAGCUGGGCAUGUGCGAUAGGACACCGUACUAGUACGACACCCGCCCACCGUGUCAAUGUCCGGCAGCUCCAGGAAGUAGGCCACGGACACAAGUGCGGAGUUGACGUCCCUGGAGCCGUACACGUGCAUGUGGGAGGGAGGGAGGGAUAGUCAAGGCGGGAGAGAGGGAGAGGGAGAGAGAGAGAGGGCAGCAAGAUAAACAAGAUAACUAACGUUCACGCAUAGAGGUCGUGUCUUGCAAACAGGAAUGGCUUCAUGAGCAAAUCCUUCAGCUCUUCAGGGUGCUUCGUUGGAUUGCGCCAACUGGUAAAUUUUCCAGAGGUUUGUCACAGAGGCGCACACCUGUUCCGACAAAUCCAUGUUGAUUAAUGUACGAUUCAACUGAGCCCAGUCCCCGUACAGUCCGUCGCAACCUGCAAAGAUCCAGAGAUUCAGGCCAACUCACCCCAACGUUUGCAUAUGGACCGUUUUAUUUCUCGUCCAGCAGCAGCGAUUACACGUCAAAUCAUUGAAGGCCGCCUCCGCCCUCCUGGCCGCCAGCCACGUCAAGUACAGGGCAUGAGCCCCACUGCGAACCACGGGCGCACCGGGCUGGGGCUCAGGCAGGCCGGUGGCCUGGCAGGCGAGGCCAAUGGCCGUCUGCUGCUCCGCCUGCUGCGGAUUGUCGUCAAAAACCCGCAGCGCGUAGGCCAGCGGGUUGGCGGACGUCACCAGCGGGUACGGCACCGAGUCCGCCAGCCAGGCAGUGUCGGGGCCGUCGUACGGCUCACCUGACAGGGGCGAGGAUAUUGGGGUCUGGAAAGGUUAGUUCGAAAGCAUGAGGGUGAGAGGAAUGAAAGCCGGGUAGCGAUGCACGGACAGUCGGAUAAAUUGUUGAGGCGAAAACGUGGCCACAUUCCCCGCCCGGAAACGUGCCGCUCAGCGCAAGGCCUGUCCGUUAGUAGCCCUCAUACCGACCUUGACAUGCUGCCAGACUCGUCCCAAGGAACGUAUAGGGCAAUGUACGGCACGAGCUUACCGUACUUUUCUUGGUACAGCUGCGCAGUUUCGCGGUAUGCCCCAGCUAUCUUUGCCGGGUCGCUCAAGUCCAAGUAAUCAGGCCGCCAAGGUUCCAACCUUUCUCCGAACAGGCAGGCCUUCGCGUAUUCCUCGCUCAUCCCCAGGUGUGUGUGCCACAUCAGCGCAAUGUCGGCGGUGGGGACCAGAGUCACCUCCGGGUGCUGACGGUGCAGCUCCAGGAAGCGGAUGUACCUGAGGGGAAAAAAUGAACAACGACUUAUUUUUAAUGCACGCUUUUCAAGAACGGCACCAUCACAGUGGAUAGAAAUGGACGUGCAGCAUCCGCCUUAGCAAGUUACAAGUGCUGCACGAGUGCGGGGGGGUCCGUCAAAGCCGGGAGGCCGUGGACUAUAUAUAUUGAAAGUUGAUUACAACGUACAACCGACGGCGGUUUGGGUCCUGCCAACUAGACCCCUCCUCAUCCAGUCACCCGACAUCCGUAGAGACAGAUCAGCCAUCACCACCAUCUCAGUAUGCGAAACUCAGUCCAUUAACUAGACCCCAUCUCCACACCUCAGCAGCGUUAGUAAACCUAGACCUCCCGAACAAUGUCGGGGGUCUGACCAGGAAAUUAUAAUUACCAUUACCAGGAAAGCGGCAUCAAAGGCGCACACUUUAGCGCUUAUCAACAAUAACCAAAGCUGCAAGGGAAUGGAGAGCAAGGCUAGGGCAAGCCAAACGAGGGCUUCUUGUAGCCAGGGGAGGGGCGCACCUGUGCCCGGAACUGCACUCCAGAACUGGUGUCCCCAGAACUGGUGUAUUUCCCUGCCCACCUGUCUUGGGCCUGGUUUUGAAACGUCAAAUCCAGGAAGUGCGGCCGCAGCCAGGAAUGGAGCAUGCGGGAGAAGCGGCCCAUAGCAGCAGCCUGGAAGGGGGAUGCCCGGGGAAAUGAGGUGAAGGCGGUAUGUAUGGGAGCCAGGCUGGGCCUGACUGGGAUGGGCGCCUUCACUAUGCUCGUUGACGGCAUUUCUGACGGCCUUUUGCCGUCUCAUUAUGCCGUUCAGGGCAAGCCAAAGCAUCCCUUGAAGCUGGAUUGUGUAGUGCCUAGCACGCAAUAGCACUCACCACUUGCGUCGCAAAGGCCAGCGGCCCGGUGGUUUUGCUGUGCACCGAACCGGGGGCCGGGGGCGGCCAGGCGGGGUGGCUGGCAGCCACGGACUUCCACAGUGUGCUGUCUGAACGCCGCUGCCCGAAGGAGAAUGCCGUGCUAUUAAUCGGGUGGACAUCCUGCAACCCUUUUUCUAAGAGCGACUUAUUGUACGCUGCAGGAUCCUGUCGGUGAAUGAACCUGCAGAUGGCGAACAGUAGUUGCUCUUGCUUACGUCGAUUCGCAUUCUAUGCACCCACGUCAGGUUGGUAACACGGAAACGUUUUGAAGAUGAAAAUGUUAAGGCUCGUAAAGACAGAUGUACAGCUCGUCAUGCAAGGUUAGCAUCGUCUUGCCAUUUUGGCCCCACGUGUACGUACUUGGCAAGCAAGCCUAAUGGGCUAUGCACACACCAUGCAAAGGCGAUGUCCAAUGGCGGUACAGUGGUUGUACUAUGUCGCUUAAGAAUCUCGACCCAGAAUAUCUCGUAGCGUGUCGCGGCUGCCAAGGCAUAAUAGCCCGUGUACAAGCCACCUAUCCGCGGGUCAGCUUGGUCAAGUGGAUGCAAAAAACUGCAAAUCGUUGCCUCUAGAUCAGAGAUCGCAAUUUCUUACCUCUAGGGAAGCAGUCAACUGCAUGCAGCAGCCGCAGCAAGUCCACGCAUUUUGACGCUGGCGAUUGCUUACGUACCAGCUUCGCAUAAUAUUCAUCCUCCAUUGUGAGCCGUUGCUGCUGUUGAGUAACAACUGCUAUGCUCCUGGCCCUUUUGUAGCAAGGGUUCCAAAGGUACGGAACGUUACUUGCCAGCAGCCCGUAGCACAAGUUUAAGGGUUUAAGGGUAAAGAUUUUAAAUAAUUCUCAAGCGCAAAAAAGUGCAUCUUUUGGCAUUAUCAUCUUUUCACCUGCCUUGUUGGGAUGUUCACAUAGGGGGACGGAAGGGACGAAAUGGUUUGAGAUUUUAAAGGCCCUGCUGUGCAAACAAGGUACAGACUAAAAUCCUGUAGCUACAGACUAAAACGCCAAAGGUCAUCCUCCGCACCUGGAUGCUGAAGGUCCGCAAGUUGGAAAGGGAAGUGAAACGGUGCUUGAAGCAGCUAAGUACCGUAUCGUGUGCUCUGAUAAGGACUCGACGCCUUCACUUUUUAGUGCCAAUAUGACCUUUGCUGUAAGUAGAGUACUAGAAAGUUAAGCUGCUGGUAGUUGAACAGUCCUGGCUGACCCACACACCGCUCAAGCUCAUAGGAAUUGCUAUCUUUGUUGUACAUAGUCUGCAUGUUACAAGUCUCUCCCGGCACAGAAUGAUUUCUUUUAAGCAAACCUGUGGCUUAAGCUUGAGGCCAGCAGCCCGUUUUCAGCUCUGGUUGUCUUUUGGAUUGCCCACCCGAAAGGUGGGCAACAACCUAGAUGUUGGAUGAAAAAUGGGCGAGCAUGCUCGGACUAAAGAAUGUCGUAGCAGGAGGCAAUGUCGUAACAGGAGGCAUGCGGCUGGGGCCGAAGCGCGGUGAGAGGAAACACGGUAAAAUGCAAAGCGCAGAAGCCAGGAAGAUGUGCAGUGUGAAGUAGUGGCCGAGCAUAAGGCGAUUACAAAGUUCACAUGACGCAAAUCGACCAGACAUAUGGGUGUGACGUAAGAAAAAAUGGCAACGUGAAGCGGCAAAUAGAACUAGUAAUAAAUUAUGAAAGAUGUACUCGAGAACUGCAGGAACGUGUAUGAGUUGAACCUUGAAACCGGGAACAUCUGCAAGGUUAAUGAGUAAAGCGUUCACAGAGAGAGGAGGGAGAGGAGGGAGAGGAGGAAGAGGAGGGAGAGGAGGGAGAGGAGGGAGAGGAGGGAGAGGAGGGAGAGGAGGGAGAGGAGGGAGAGGAGGGAGAGGAGGGAGAGGAGGGAGAGGAGGGAGAGGAGGGAGAGGAGGGAGAGGAGGGAGAGGAGGGAGAGGAGGGAGAGGAGGGAGAGGAGGGAGAGGAGGGAGAGGAGGGAGAGGAGCACGUUUAUGUCCCUUGUAUUGCUGUGUUUGCCUUUUGGGGCAACAAGACUUAGGCUUUUCCGAACGCAUCCCUGGAUUACCUGAACACAUCCAGGCAAAUCAGGCGAAGAAGUCGGCCUUUCGGCCACCAAGGCACAAACCAGGAACAAGACAAGAAUGUAGUGUGGAGUUUGUUACACGAGCACAACUCAUCGGUUAGCUUUGCUCCUUGUAAGCUUUCCGUCGGUAAUCGCUCCUCAUUCGACUCACCGUGCUCAUACCAUAUAUCAUAAGUCCCAUAACAACUUAGGCUGCAGCACCCUCAACCACACCCACUACACAAUAAAACAAUUCUUCAGGUGGGCAAGCCUACAUACGCGUAGCGUGAGGUUUACAGCGUGCCCGGAGCGCAUUUGCAUGACCAAGCGAGCCCGUAGGCGGCCCGCCCCCAAAAGAAGACCAUGAAAACUCAGAGCCCAGACACAAGCACGGAUCACAGCGUUUGAACUCCAUGCAUGCAUAGUACAUAUUAUGUGUCGUGUCGUGUCGAUCGGUAGCAUGCCAUCGGUGUGUGUAGUGUGCAUGUUAGGACGCAAUAGCGCUGAAACAACCGGCUAAAGCACAUCACUGAGACAGAAGUACGACAAUCGGCGGCACUAAAUUACGGAAAUCAGUGUUGGCAUUCCACGCUGUUUAGUGCCGCAGAUUGAUGGCGGCACGCACGGAUAUGGAACAGCUUUUCGAGCGACUUCGAGCAAGGUGCAUGUAUGUGGCUGGUAAACCUACAUAGCUUGCAGAUAGGUGAAGAUGACGCACGCGCCCCCUCCCUGGACGCCGACAAUCCUAUCACGACGUCAAGCACACAUGGAUGAUGAUGAUGAUGACGUGCUUCAAUUUAACCAUCCGACCGACCGGAUUACUGACAGCAAUGCUACCCGCACUCAAACAUUGUUCAGGCCCGGAAAAGCCUGGAAAGGUAGCUAUGAACCACGGUCCAGACAGCGCUAUCAAACAAGGACGUUUGCCUGCCCAUCACUCCCCACACUAAAAGGAGCCCUAGACACUGUCCACAAGUGGGGCAAGGAUGAAGGUCACAGGAGGGAAAUGGCCCGACAUACAUGCACGGGCACCACCUUGGCUACCUGCCACCGUGAACUAAGCCCACCCCGCGGACUGCCCAGGGCUCGCAAAGGAUUAACCGGGCACGGAUGGCGCAUAAAUCACCUGCCCCGAGCGACCAGCCGAUUGUAAAAGUUGCCACCAACUCGAAGCCAGGACACUGAUUCCGAAACCACUCGAAGCCAGGAGUAUACCAUGGUUAAAACUGCUGUAUGCAUGUGUGUACAAAAAUCUGCGUGACGCAUGCACUGUCGUAUCCCUUAUUAAGGAUCAGCACUCAAUCAGCAGUUAGCAGCACCUCCUGCUUAUUACUGAGCUUCUAUCGCUAAUAAUCCCCCUGAUUGCUAUUGUUUAACGAUGUUGAAUAAUCAGUAGUAAUGGCAAACACAACACAACAUAGCUAACAUGGGCCACGCCGCCAUUCACUACAUGUUGACGUAUAUGUGUGCUCUCUUGCCCUGUUGCCUCCAUCCUCCGUAAAUACCGUUACUAAUCAUCACUAACUACCAGCAACUGCACAAGCCUAUCCAUAGAUGGAACACAGGUGAACGAAAGAUAGAAACCAGCGGUGCAUUGAGCAGUGUACAGCAGCGUGUUGCAGACACCGACCUGCAUGUAGACGAGUGCAAGCACGUGCAUGGCAGCGGGCCGUGGGGGUUGCCAACGAAGGGAACUAACUGGCUGCCGCGGAUGUGCCUUAUAGUACCUGCUGGCUGGCCGUUGAAAAGGCCGCUAUAGAUGCUGGCGGCAGAGCGCCUUCGCGCGUAUGUAUAUUGGCGGUGUGCGCCGUACUGUACGACAGUUAAUAAUACAAGUUGCAUGUCAUGCAAUUGAAGGUGCAAAAGUAAGCGCAAUACAAUGAGCAUGGAGCAACUGUAAAAUCUAACGUGGCGCAUAUGAUGGAGCAUCAUGCAGGUUUGUCUGUAUGUAUGCACCUGACUCUAAGGCGGUGCACGGCGGGGAACGGUUAUUGGCGCGCACGGGGCCAUGAAUGUUGCCCCUAAACCCCCUUCACGGAUCUCCCCCCCCAAAACAUGGUAGCUACCAAAUGCUACACACUUGCUCUCCCCGCGCCUACCCUUCCCCCGCCCAAGCAUGCACCUCAUCCGCUGGGCGCCUUGGAAAGAUUCUUGGGACGAGCCAAACAUACCUACGACAAUACUUAGCUCCGCCUGCUGCCUUGCAGCAGUGCUAGGCCACCUUAGUAACGACAACACCGCCUUCCGCAGCAUACAUCUCUGCACAUGUUCUCCAUGAAUGCCCCAGAAACAGGUAUGGAAGGCAGCACUCUAGCUUGCUACCUGAAUUGCUUAAGAGCAGUCCAUGCGCGCGUGAUGAUGUAUGUCGUAUACAUCAAACACUACGAAGCAAGGAGUGCAGGAACCCCGCCCAGGGACAGGCAGCAGAACUGCAAACCUUUUUGUUGUUAAGCAACGGCUGCAACGAACUUCCAAUGGCAGCCUCCUCACUUCCAACUUGACAAGGGGUGGGAAGCAGUACAAUGAACGAUACACGCAGAAUGUACGAUUUUUGACAGCAGUACGCUCGUAGACAUGAACGAAAGCGAACUGGCCAGGGCUGCCCCGAUGCACUAGGAGGGCACUGGCACUAGCAGCUCAGUGCUUGUCGUGAUUUGCUACGCGUGGGAGCGUCGUUAGAGGUUUAGGUGCAAUUGAAAAAGGGAAUGAUUUUCUCGUGAUCGCGAUUAAUUAAGGCCCGACCCAGGAUAAUUGUCGUAUCACGGCUACAGGAAAUGCACCUAAGAUGCGAAUCCUCGUAGGGAAUGGUUUCCUCGGGCGCUGGAGGCAAAGUAACUGGCGACAACAGGCAGGGCGGCUGCCUCCCGAUAUCCUUGAUGGCAGGUCGAUACCAAGCAUGCUACGCCGCCACGUAGACCGCUGGUGAGAUAGGGUAGGUGGCACAGCGAGCGCAUGCCAUACAUGGCCGCCGUGGUGGGAGCUGUGUCCUCAGAACCAGAAGUCGUCACCGCCACCGCCAAGAUCUAUAACACCAAAGCCGCCGCCACCCGCCCAGUCGCCACCUCCAGAACCGUCUGGGGUAUAGCACCACCCUGCCAUAUAUAAUGACGAGAUUGUGUAGUAGUCGCACUGUCCAUACACGUAGCAGCCCUCGUGCUUGUGGCGAAUACACCGGUACUCGGUCUGCAUGUGACCCACACCACGACUCGCGGACUUUUCCCAUGCAGAGGUGAAACUGCUCACCGCCUUCGCUGACAUGCCCCGGGAUGUCAGGAUAUACCACAACGCCGCAUCUGAGUCGCGGUCGUACUUUUGUACGGCUGCUGACCCAACCGACGUCGACAGCAUCGCUGCCGCCAGUAUCGGUGUAAGGCCUCUGAUAUAGCACGACAGCCAGUCGAGGUAGUCUGCAGGGUCGGACGGCUUGAAAGCCACCGGCAGCGCCAGCGCCGGUUCAGUGCCAGCUGUAGCUGCGUGGUACCAUUGUGUGUGUGUUGGGGGGAGGGGGGUAAUGAGAGGGAUGAAAUCAAAGAGUUAACGAACUCAUCUGCAUUAGUGGAGGUUCACCCAGGGAGGGGGGGAAGGGUGCAACGCGGAUACAUACAGGAAAGAACACAGGAACACAGGAAAAACUGAUCAACUGGGAAGGCAUUGUGCCGGCAGGUUAGCUAGUCUGAUAGAUCAGAGCGACAUGGCGGGCACAUCCUUUUAUUCUCCUAUCGUUGAGGGGGGAACUCGCAGAUUGUUGAGCGCCCAAGUUGUUCUGCUUUUGGGGAGCUUACAUUUUGACGUGCGGGCUGGGGCGGGUAGGAUGGCGCACGGGAAAAUCCUCCCGUAGGGGCAAUCCUUUCUUAGCUCUGUCACCAUUUCAUGUGGUCGUAAAGCCAUACGAGAAUGUCAGCAGUACGACGUGCAGUACAGUACGACGCGAUUGUUCAGUAGGACGUGCAGUACAGUACGACGCGAUUGUUCAGUACGACGUGCAGUACAACGCGAUUUCCUCUCGGAUGGGAAGCAGCCAGAUUCGCAUUAAGAUGGCUAAAUGGCUAAAUGCAAUGGAUGGGGGUUGCCGUCUGCUGGGCCAAGCUGCUGGUUGCCGCAUGCCAAUUUGUUGACCCCUCUUGAUAUGCAUCGGUUGCUUAUGCGGUUUCAUUUAUGUUUCUGGCGGCUAGAAGUAAAUAGAGAUUUUAGGGGGAAUUGCACGUGAGCAGACGAUCUGUCGAGCUUUGCUCCAAGCCGUGGAGGAUGAAGAGCAUGUACUCUUGGAGUGCCCAGCAUAUAGCACAUGCAGGCAGGAUUUCUUUCGGGUAUCAGGUGGACCACACUAUGGAGGAUGUGGUGAUGGUAGCGGUUGACGUUGGCUGAAAUUGUCGAAUCUUAUCCACCGUAUCUAUCCUGCUAACGAGGGUCAGAAACCGCAGGCGCACUGGUACGGCAUACUAUUCUGGUUAGUUCAAAUAGUACGAUAUAUUCUUCUUUUAGUCUCGUGUUGAGAGAUAGGGUAAUAGUCUUUCUUUUCUGCGUUUUUAUGUUGUAUAUCUGUUUCAGGCAGCCCUAAACUGGCUCAGGCUCGUAUGGGCCCGUUAUGUCUUCGGAGAGUAACGCAACUCAAACACACUUACACGCAUACACAUACACUCACUCACUCACUCACACGCACACGUAUUCGUUUUAGAAGCAAGGCCCUCUCUACCAGUGUGAAGCUGACUAGACUGCCGUGACCUCACAUAAAUUAAAGCAAUCCGCCUUCGAGAAACCAGCGCCGAUUUGCACAGCCCAAGCUCCGGUUUCAGGUAAUACGACACAGCGCGCAUCUCCCUCUAUGGACGUGUUAACAUAGGCUUAACCGCUUGGUGGCAUUGCACAAAACAAGGCCCAUAAAUGUACUGCUGACUUGACAACGACUCCCAUCCGGUGAGCCCCACGACUGUUACAACUGAUGUUGGUGCCCACCUGGGGGGCCAUGAUUGAGUUUCCAGAUUCCCGGGCGCCGCGAGAUGGCCAAGAGGUACGGGUGCUGUGGGGGGGAGAGCGAAGGGAAACGCAGGGGCAUGAAAUGAAACGUAUAAGUAUAAGCGGGUAUGUUUGUCACAUCAUUUUGGCGUCACGUCGAUUUUACCGUCUUUUCUUUUUCGCUUUAGUUAACAUCUCGGUGUGAAUAUGCCUGUUUAGUCGGUUGAUACCUUUAGCAGGAGGAUAGAGUAAAUCCGGAUGCUCUGACUUAGAAAUUAUGGCACCUUGCAACGGUAGAAGUAGCAUAAGCAGCUUGCGCAAUUAGGGGAUGCGAUAAUGGGCAAGGUUUAUUGGCUGAUUGGCAGCUUGCUUUCUUCGCCGUCUUCCCGGGCAGCCACGACAUAACAUACAACACCCGCCCACCGUGUCAAUGUCCGGCAGCUCCAGGAAGNNNNNNNNNNNNNNNNNNNNNNNNNNNNNNNNNNNNNNNNNNNNNNNNNNNNCACAAGUGCGGAGCUGACGUCCCUGGAGCCGUACAUGCAUGUGGGAAGGAGGGGAAGGGAGCGAGGGGUUGAGGGGAAGGGAGCGAGGGGUUGAGGGGAAGGGAGCGAGGGGUUGAGGGGAAGGGAGCGAGGGGUUGAGGGGAAGGGAGCGAGGGGUUGAGGGGAAGGGAGCGAGGGGUUGAGGGGAAGGGAGCGAGGGGUUGAGGGGAAGGGAGCGAGGGGUUGAGGGGAAGGGAGCGAGGGGUUGAGGGGAAGGGAGCGAGGGGUUGAGGGGAAGGGAGGGAGGGGUUGAGGGGAAGGGAGGGAGGGGGCGAGGGGAAGGAGUGCGGGCGUGACUUCCCUGGGGGCGUCGUAGGCAGGGAUGGAGGAAAAGGGGGAAUAGGGAGAGGGAGGGGAGUAUGAGAGGAACGGGGAAGCGGGUGAAAGGGAGAGGGAGGCAGAGGGGCUGGGGUGGGAGGAGGGAGGGAGGGGUUGCGGGGAAGGAGGGCGCAACUAAGGCAAGAGCGAAACCACUGAGGGCAUUUAGGGGAGGAGAGAUAAAGGACAUGAGAAAAAGGUUGGGGAGAUGGGAGCGAAAGCGGGAUAGUGGGAGAUGCAGGCAUGCCUUGCACGGAGAACUGCACACGGAACCGCGGGUCACGGCCUCUAUCAAGCGAAGCAACGUUACUCAGUCUCGGACCUCUCAUGCCACGUGCAUAUCAGGCCCCCGUAAAGCUAGAGCACUUGCUAUCCAGUCAACUCACAUCAACGUCUCCACAUGCACAUCCUUGUUCGUUGUCCAGCAACAACAACACGUCAAAUGAUUGAAGGCCGCGUCCGCUCUCCUGGCCGCCAGCCACGUCAAGUACAGCGCAUGAGCCCCACUGCGAACCACGGGCGCACCGGGCUGGGGCUCAGGCAGGCCGGCGGCCCGGCAGGCGAGGCCAAUGGCCGUCUGCUGCUCCGCCUGCUGCGGAUUGUCGUCAAAAACCCGCAGCGCGUAGGCCAGCGGGUUGGCGGACGUCACCAGCGGGUACGGCACCGAGUCCGCCAGCCAGGCAGUGUCGGGGCCGUCGUACGGCUCACCUGACAGGGCCGAGGAUGUUGGGGUUCGCCAAGAAGGAUGUCAGCUUCCUUGGGGCUGUGAUAAAAGCGACGCACCCUUGCAGUCAUCACUACAGGGCUCUUAAUGGAGCACGGUAGCAGAGUUAAUUUUAAUUCACUUGAAGUCCUACCCACGAACGCGUGACUUUCAGGCUUGUUUUGAUUUCAAGGGGAGGCUUGUGACUGUUGUUUCUGUUGGUGCGAAGGGGUGCCGCGUCGCCCCCUGGCCUGUGAAAGGCUGCCCGUCAGGCUGUUGUGAAUGGCGGCUGGCAGGUCCUAGAAUACUGUCAGGUCGCCCAUCAGGACGGGCUACCCAAGCCUCAAAACCCCUGCUAUGUACCGAUAACAGCACCUCAGACUCAUACGUUCACGCUCAAGCAAGGGGCUAUCGGUGGCAGGUCGCGGACCUCCCCACUACGUGUAACGGCCAAUGACUCUUAGCCGUGUGCCUGCUAGGUCCCAUUGAGACACCGUCUCACCAACAGGUUAUGGGCCCCGCAUAGCGGUUCCCAGUGGUUACUAUCUGUACUUGCUUCAACUUGAGCAGUCAUGCUCGCUAGGCAACCAUCAUGGGGAAGGGAGGUAAGACCGUCCUCCUUUCGGAUGGGUCGAGCUACUCCCAGUGACUUCAGCGACUUCCGCGCAACGUCCAAGUUGAAGAGCUACAUCAACAACCCGUGGCCUGCCGCCACAGUCCGCUAUCACUGUCGAGUUCGCGAUGUAUCAGCCCAAGUUGACGACCCCACAGCUCGUGCUCAUGCUGCGGGAGGAGAACAAUCUAAAGGCCCAAGCGAUCAAGACGGGCCUGGUUGGAGCUGUAGAACCUGGUCGCACCGCCCGUCGAGUUGGCAGCACCGCCGGCGCCUCAGGCGCCGUGGGUGCCAACGACAUCUGCCGCUACUGCGGACAGCCUGGUCACUACGUCCGCGAAUGCCCCGUUAAGCUGGCGGACGAGUCCGUAGGCCUCCACCGUAACAAUCCAUUCGAGCAGCCGCACGCCGCCAGCAACAUCAGUGGAGGCAGCCGCAACCGUCGCCGUGACGGCGGCGGCGGUGGCACUGGCAGCGGCACUGGCAGUAACAGCGGGGGCGACGGAGCACGCGAACGCGGCCAUGCUCGGCACGGCAACGGCCGCCGCAACGGUGGUGACACCGGAGCCAGCAGCAGUGGCAGAGGCUCGGGCAGCAGCGGAAGCAGCUCACGCCAGAACCGUGCCACAGUGCUGGUCAUCGACCGCAGUGGCAGCAGCUCACGAGUCAUCCUCGACUCAGGCUCACCGUACCACCUCACGGGUAACCGCUCCCUGCUGCACAACUACGUCCCCGCCGGUGUACAAGGCAGAUCGAGUGGGGCAACAAACAGCCGGCCGAUGUCAUGGGAACACGGGAGCUGCACCUGCGUACACGCAACGAACACAACGUCCGGCUGCGCAAUGUGCUGCACGUCCCCAGCUCGGGCCUCACCCUGUCGACCUUCUCAUGACACGCGGCUGCUUGGUCAUGUUCGGCACAGACAAGAAGGGCCGCCGAUUUUCGCCCAUCGGCCACUCCCGCACAACAGCUCGUCUAUCACCGCAUGGAGCGAGCGCGGGCAUUACGUCAUGGACGUGGACCUGCAGGCGCCGACCGACGUCGCCGUCAAUACCCUCGGCGCCGCGGGCGACAGAGCCGGCGGGGGCCAGGCCGCAGGUAGCGGCGCGGGCGGAAGCACCGCCGCCGUCCCCAACGCCCGCGGUGGCAGCACCUCCGGCAGCCACACCGGAGACACCGUCUCACCAACAGUUUCCGUGUUAAAGGCGGAGGAUGACGAAUGAAAGCUCGCUCACUAGGAGCGGAAGGGGGCUGCCUGGGCCAGCGCUUCGAACCGUCGAACUGCUUCGUGGUCCUGGAGAUAGCAUGAGAGAUCGUGGUCGGACCCGUUGAGAGAUGCCCCCCUCCUCUCGGCCCAGGUUGCAGCAGUUCGGAUGGAGAACAGGCCACAGGGCGCAAAGGCGGGCUGCGGCCAAAUGGAGUCCCUCUGUCACAGCGCGGCGCUUGGACCCUUGUGUACAGCGUCACGCCUGCUGCUAGCCCUCCCCGUCGCGUGUUUAGGCGGCAACAGCCGCUGGGAGGUCGAUUUGAACGCCGCUGGAGCACCCCCGUUUUCCCGUUUGUGGGAUUGGCUGUUUUGCCGUAAUCAGGCGGUGCUAGCUGUUUCGUGCAGAUUUCGAGUUGCGUGUUCGGCCGGCCUGUGGGUCGCCGACCACUUACCCUUUUGUUUCCGGUUCCCCAGAACACGAGGCCCCGCCAUGUAAGGCCCGUGUAAGGCCAAUUCCAGUCAGAGUUCCGCCUUGCCGUUUGCCUGGAUAAGCUCCCCCGCCUUGAAGAGAGCAACGGCAGCCGAGCCGUAAGCCGACUACGGCUGCAGUUCAGAACUGGCAGGGACUGGUUUCGGAGUCGGUUGGUAACUUCUUUUCGGCUGCUCCGGUCGACUCAAUCCAUGAGCACCCCGCGCCCUGCCAAGCCUUCACCCUAAUUCGAGAGCCCAGGGCUGUCCGCGGGUUGGGAUCCUGGUGGUAGGUGGCUGGUAGGGGUGCCCCUCAUCAUGUGACGUUUAUCCCCACACACAUACGACGCCCACCUCGUUGACGGUGCUUAGGGUACUCCCUUAGCAGUGUGAGGCGGGGAAGCGUGGCUGCUUAGCGGUGACACCGUAGGCUUACCGUACGUCUCCUGAUACAGCCGCGCAGUCUCGCGGUAUGCCGCCACUAGCUUAGUAGGGUCGCCCAGGUCCAGGUAAUCGGGCCGCCAGGGCGCCGCCUCCGCCCCAAGCAGCUUCUCACAGGCCUCGGCGUAUUCCUCGCUCAUCCCCAGGUGUGUGUGCCACAUCAGCGCAAUGUCAGCGGUGGGGACCAGAGUCAACUCCGGGUGCUGACGGUGCAGCUCCAGGAAGCGAAUGUACCUGCGGGUGAACAUGUAAGCAGCGAUCCUCUAAGCCUCCAUGCAUGGAAGUGGAGCUUAGGUAAGUGAGCAGGCGUGGUUAGGACGUUUCUUCAUAUGAUGGCGGGGAGAAGAGGAAACGUGUUUUGUGUGACCUUUGUCAGGGGGUAGCACAACAACGGCACCAAUCUGCGCUCAAGCCGCUGACGGAGGAGAACACAAUCCCAAGGCAUACAUAAGUGUCAUCCGCUCUAAAUGCAGCCGUCACGAUACAGCGCCAUGGACGGCUUGAGGACGGUGGGACAAGCCAAGGCAGGGGCUUUCAGCAGCGAAGGCUGCACAAUGCAACCUGGAGCACCGAGUGGCGGCCGUAUACCUCCCACCAGCGUACGCCACCUACCCCACCCUCAUCCCCCUUAUCCCAUGCCUCUCCUGACCUGUCUUGGGCCUGGACAAGAAAUGUUGUAUCCAGAAAAUGUGGCCGGAGCCAGGAAUGGAGCAUGCGGGAGAAGCGGCUCAUAGCAGCAGCCUGGAAGGGGAAGGCCAGGGAAAUGAGGCGAAGGCGGUAAGUACGACAACAGCGGCGUAGCUGUCUACGGCCACACCAGGGAAGCUUCUGCAUGUUCUGUAAGGGGUUGCAUGCAUACAUACAUACAUACAUACAUCGGGGAAGCCAAGCGGCGACUGCAGCGGCUCUCCCGCUUCCCGCUAUCAGCAUUCGGUCGAGCCACAGCGGCAUCAGUGUACGGCCUGCAGACAGUCACCUGGCACAUGGAGCAUGGUGGGCCGCCCCCCAACCGUACGCUGGACGAAAUAGAACGCCUAACGGCCCGCCUAGUCGACCGGCAGCAGGGCCCAGAAGACCCCGGCCGACGCUUGACAGGGGUGCCUAAGGAUCUCUUGACCGGCCACCCGUCGGCUGGAGGCUUUGGCCUGCUGCCCCUCCAGCAACACAUCCAGGCUCGGCAUGCGGUAUGGGCUGUGCGCUUCAUCAUAGCGGCCCUCGGGCUAUCAACGCGUCAUGUGGGCCAGGGACAGGUGGAGCUGCAGGAACCACAGGUGGUACCGGGGGACACGGGGGGGCAGAUGGUGGUCUCCACCCCUGGGUCCGGACGCUCUCCGCCUAUAUGCUGCUCACCCACCCCGCCUUCCAACCGUGGGACCUGACGACCGCCAGCCAAGCCGGGCCCCGACUCGGCGGAAGCGAUCUACCCACGGAUAUCAGCCGGAUUGUGGGCGGCCUGGGACACCUGCCACCGCUCCGGGAUAUCGAGACCAACCCCCUGUCCCCUGGACCAUGGUGCUGGGCAACCGCGUUGUGGGGUAACCCGUUGCUCCCCAAUACCGGCAAGGCAGACCCAGACAGCUUGAACCGCCGCCCGGGCCUGGAGGCGCACUUUGUGGGGAUCGCUACAUGCAGGAAACUGCAAACGGUGGGCGACCUAGUGCGGAUCUGGGACCUAGUGGUGCAUACUCGAGUGGCCUCCCUCCCCAGGUCGACCUGGCCCGCAUGGGUCAGGACACACCUCGACCCGUCAACCCCAGCACCCACGCGGGACAGGUCAGCGAUGCUGGCAGCCCUUAAGACGCUACAUGGCGCUAUCAACCCGGCCUGGCUCGAAGCUGCAAGAGCAGUGGAAACCCAACAGCAACAGCAACCCCAGCCGCAGCCACAGCUGCAGCCACAGCCGCAGCCACAGCCGCAGCCAAAGCCGCAGCCAAAGCCACAGCCGCAGGUACAGCCACAGCCGCAGGUACAGCCACAACAGAAGCAACAGCUGCAACCACAACCACAGCUACAGACACAGCAUCAGCCGCAGCCGCAGCCACAACAGCAGCAACAGCCGCAGCAGCAGCUACAGACACAGCCGCAUGAGCAGCAACCACAACAGUAGCAGCCAGAGAUGCCAACGCUGGGGGACACGACGGCUCCAAGCACCCCCAACAGCACUCAGGCGAUGGCUUUGAUCCUAAAUCGGGUCGGAUGGCAGAUACCGGGCGACACAACAACCGUCCCCUCACACGCCUGACGGUCCGCCUAGCGACACAGCUGCAAUGCGGGGCCACGGAGGAGAAACGGGGACGCUUGAUGGCAGCAUUUGUGCAAGAAGCGUUGGACCCGCAGGAAACGGCACCUUCCUCCUCAGCGGAAACAAGCCGCUUCAGGGCGACGCAAGCCCGCUUGUGGUCGAGGGUGCGGUGGGAGAACGAGAACAAAGAAACGUUGUGGCGGCUUGCCGUUGACGGCAUCCCCCUGCCCGGCAACACGCACCUGGCCCGCAUGGUGCCCGAGCGAUGUGGGUGUGGAAGGUUCGGCAACGCCAGCAACCAGCACUGCUCCCCACGCAUGCACCACUUCUGGGAGUGCCCCGUCGCACAAGCUGUCCGGGAGCAGAUUGACCGACACAUACAGCCCUCCCAGGAGGCAGCGACAGGCGGAUCACCCGGAAGCAGCAGUGGUUGGUCCAAGCCCCGACCGGCUGCGAGCAGGCCCCCUGGGAUGUGAUCGCCCUGGCGGUCCUGUCUGAUAUGGAGGUAGGCAGGUGCUGCCUGCGAGCAGCCGGAAGGCGACUGGAAAGGGCGGCUAACCCCGCGACAGAACAGCCAGAGCAAGCGCAACAGAUCCAGGCGCAAGGGCCCCAACAGCGGCGGAUAACGGACUUCUUUCACCUGGCCAACGGAGUGAGACCGCACGAGGGGCCAUCGCUGAACGCGCCGGUACUCGAGGAUCAAGCGCUGAACUUCUGGGCGCGCUUGCGCUCUUUCACCGCGUUCAACGUCCCAAGGCGGGGCUGGGACGGAGUGGGACCCCACCACCCGAUCCUGUCAAUCGUCGGGGGAGCACUGCGCUGCGCGGAGGCAGUGGACAUCACGACCUAAGGGUCAAGCGGACGCGGCGGGAGCUGGAGUCUAGGGGACAAGGGGGAUAGGGUGCCGAGGCGCGGAGGGGGGAUGAGGUGGUGGGGGUGGUAGGGAGGUCGAGAGGAAGGUUGAGGGGAAAGGUUGCGAGGGGUGCGGGAUCAGGGAUGGGGCUUGGGGGGAUGCCGCGCAAGGGGACAUGGGGGAGGGAGGGUUUAUUUGCAUGAGGGAGCCGUGCCGGCGGAAGGGGGGGGAGACCGGGGAAAGGGCGGGGAGAGCCGGGAGGGGAGGGGAAGAGGCAGAGAGAGCACCAAGAGGAUGUAGGGUUGAGGGGUGGUGAGUGGAAACAGUUGACCGUAGCGAGGGCGCGGAUGAGGGGGAGGUGGCGGAGGGGCCGUACUCGGACGUGCGCGGUACUCGGAGGUGCGCGGUACUCGGAGGUGUGCGCGUGGUGCAGGACUAGGUUCUUCAGGGUACGAGACCGGGUUUCGUGUGUUGCGGCGUCUAGGUGAGUUAGGAUCUAGGGAACCAGCCGUCUUAGUAGAGCGGUAAUGGGGGGCCGCCGAGCUGGCUACCCUCCCCCCCUGUGGUUUUCAGAGGCUUGAUCGCCCGGCGUCGCCGCAGGGUUUUCCCGUUUGAGUACUUUUCGAGUUAGACCCAGUGCUGUGGAAGGGCGUGGGCUUGUGCGGUGUUAUCCCCCCGAUGGGUGCUAUGUCCCCUGGACUAGCCCAGGGAGGGAGAGGCGGAGGAGGGUAGUAGUCUCAGGAGGCUGUUUGGCGUCUUGUAGUGUGAGCUCUUUGCGCUCUUUUUAGCGUGAGGAUUUUUGAGCUUGGUGACCUCCCCAGCCCGGGAUGACUAGUUGGGCGCCCGGUCGCCCAGGUCCUGGUUGCGAGAGAUGCUCGGUUCAUUCAGUCGGCAGGAAGAGCCCCCCAGUUGCGACUUCGUUUAUGUUACGAGACCAGCGGGCAUAGAUCCCGUCUAGCUGGAGCGCCAAACGAGCGCUGUUGUGUGCCGGCCGUCGUUUCCCGUGCGGUCUGACCCGGGGGCGGAGUGCAUGAGCCCGCCCCCCGCGCUGUGUUUCGGCCCUGGGCCCCCGGCUUUUCAGCCCACAGUGUAAUCAACGUCAUACAUACAUAUAAAUUGCUUGGUGAGGGACGAGGGUGAGAGCGGUGCAGUACGAGGCAGGAUGAGUAGGUUCUGGAGGACCAACCGUUCAGGUUUGGUGACAGUAAGGGGGUGGCGCCGCGCGGGCUACAAUCCUCCCCCUGCGGUAUUCUGGAAGGUCUAGGAGCUGUGUGUCGUGGCAACGCUAUCAUUUUUGUGGUUUCGCCGGUCUAUCCCGGGCUCCUGCAGAGGUGAUCGGGCUUGUGUGUGGUCCCUUUUCUUUUUAUGGCUACAUCCCCCCUGGACCAGCCCAGGAAGGGAGAGGUAGAGGGGGUCAGUUGGUUGUAAGGUGACUGCAAGACGUCUUGUGUGUCGAGCUCUCUUAGCCUUUCUCUCUUGGAGUUUUUUUGUUGGCUUGUUAGGUGUAUAAGGAUCCCUCCCCUGCCUGGGCUACCCUAACCGUCUUUUUAUCUUUUGUAUUUUUUUCCUUGGAAUCCCUUUGUCGUUGGUUGUGUUUUGGGCGGUUGUUUCAGAGCGCCUUUGACUUUGCCCUAGCUGAGACUUGUGGGCUCGCUCUAGCGGGACCUGAGAGCCCUCCGUGGUGUAUUCACUGCAGCGCCAUCCCCGGAUGGAGGGGCUGCGGGAUGGCUGCGUAGAGUGUUGGCAGUCUGAGCUGGGGUCGGGAGCACACAAGACUAACCGACUAACCGCUGUGUGCUCCCGACCCUUGCGCUGUGUUUCGGCUUCGGCCCCCGGCUCUCGCGGCCCACAGUGUAAUCUAAGUCAUACAUACAUACAUACUAGGGUUUGGCACUACUGGUAACGCGCGACCAUUGCCCCGGAGAUCCCGGGAUCGAGACCCGUCAGGGUCGAAAAUCCUUCCGAUGGUGGAAGGUAUUACGCCCCUAGUUGAUGGACGGUGGUGGCCUGGGAUAAAGUUAACCUGCGAGCCGAACAGGAAUGGAGUUGGGCCGCUGUCGACCCGGCAGAUUCCAUUGGAUGCUGGUGGUGGGUGCGGAACCUGAGCGAUCCACUGAGAAGUUGACUAGGGUGACUGGAUGAGGGUGCCACGAAAUACCGGGGAAGGCAGGGUUUCGCAGGGUAGCUGCCAUGGGUGAAGAUAAACCCCCCUGUUUCACACAUCAUACAUACAUACAUACACACACAUACACACAUACAUACACACACAUACAUACAUAAUACAUACACACAUACAUAUGUCCAAGGCCAAUCAAAGCCAAGGUCGGGUCGGUCUUGGCUCCUUGCUGGUGACAGUGUUAGCCAGUGUUUUUUUUUCAUUUUUGCCUCGUCAAUUUUCCAGUCCGAACGGAGGAAUAGGUUUUUAGUCGCGGGAAUAUAAGUAUUCCGAAUCUGUAAGGCGCUGGGGGGGUUUACGCCCCCCCCAGACCCCCCCCGAUGAGUUUUAGUUUUGUUCGUACAAACACAGGGUUUGGGGAAUGUCGCAACAUGCGCACACCACAAUCUCUCCAUAGAGGUGUCUCUUGCACGCCAGGAAGCGGCGCGCACUUGGACGCUUUUACAGGAACCCCGGUCGCACGGGCGACUGCUGUUGCAGAGCCCAAGCAAACAAACACAGACCAGUUAACCCCUACUCAAGCACUGAUCAAAUAGAGUUCGUUCACCAUCGUUCGUUUUGCCUCACGUUGAAAGAUAACACUACUUUCCAGGUUGCAAAAGUAAUGAUGCAUAGCAGCAAUGAACCGGAACCAUCAAACACAACCUCUGCGGUUGGUUGCAGCCCCUGCUGUUGAUGCUGCACGCUAGUUAGCGGUUCAUUGUGUACCGGCCCCUGCUGCUGGCGGCCUUCCACUUCUCCAGUGCCGCCUCAAAGGGGAAGGGUUUCCCUCCACAAGGGUCUCCCUCCGGCACUCAAUGACAUACUCGCGCCCUUUGUGCAGGGAGCAUGGCCCGCAGCGCACCAUGUCGUGCACCUCCCCCUUACAUCCGCCGCAAUGCACUGCGCCCAUGUAACCAUAGCUCCGAAGUACAGCUGCCACUUGAGGGGAUGCUUGUCCUUCUUCUCCAGCCACACACUGUCGCUCUGCCCCUUCACGACCCGCUGCGUCUGUGGUCGGGGCGUCUUUGCGCCGCGGAGUGUGGGGUUAGGAGUCUUAGCUGCAGCGCCGGGGUCGCUGCUGCCAUCGACCUCGACGCCCGUGUUUCCUGGCCCAUCGCGAUUGCCUCCAUAUGACGAACGUUGAAGUUUGACCCGCUCGCUGUUGACAACCGGAGUGGCGUCAUUGUCGUCGGCUGGCUGCAGCAUUGCGUCCAGAUUGCUUACGACCUUUACACCGCCUUCAUCAUCGUCGCUAAUGGCUUCAGUGAAGUUUAGUAUUUGCUUUAAUGGCCUUCCACGUUUUGGGAGCUUCGGGUUCGAAUAUUUUGCAGCGUUUUGUCCGGUCAGAAACAGUCCGAUUCCUUGUUGACUUUCGGGUGUGACCUUCCUAACAGUAUCCAUGGCAUUAAAGUACUAUGAUAUGAUUAACAUGUAUGUCUCCUGUAAGAUUCUAGCGGCUUUGGCAUAAACAGUCCAUUUUUGGCUGGAGGAAUGAACUUGUACGGUCGGAACAUUAUUUAUUCUUAAUUUUCAGGACCGCGAACAAUUUUUUAUUCCGAAUUCGAAAUAUAUUCCGCAAAAAAAACGCUGGUGUUAGCUAUUUACCCACCACUUGUGUCGCAAACACAUCGCCUGUAGAGCCCGCGGUUAUGCUGUGCACCGAGCCGGGGGCCGGGGGCGGCCAGGCGGGGUGGCUGGCAGCUACGGCCUUCCAGGCGGCGUCGUCGGCAAAACGCGGCCCGAAGGAGAAUACCUUGCUCCGGCUCGGGUGGAGGUCCAUGGCGGCAAUCUUGUAGGCCACCGGAUUCUGUCGGUGCACGAACCUGCGGGCAAUACGUCUCCCGUAAAGCAGGAGUACGGCCUCACCUGAGCAAAAGAGACAGAACCUGCUCCAUGCUCGCACAGCCUUACUAAAAUAAUCGCGUAUUUGAAGAGCGUUUAGUGGCCGAAAUACCACAAAUAACGGCGAACACAGAGGUUACCAAACAAAAGCUUCAGCACGUUGUCUCGACUACUACUCGCCAGCUUCUCGUCCGGGCAGGCAGCAGGUACGCACCAAGCGAAGGCGACGUCCAGCGGGGGCACCACAUCUUUGCCAUUGUUCUGCUCCAUAACCUUUAUCCAAAAGCGCUCGUAACGCGCUGCAGCUGCAGCCGCGUAAUAGCCCGUGUACAAGCCACCUUAUAAGCGCAGGCACGGCUCGAUUAAUUGCACAAAUAUAUAUAGGAUGCAGAAGAAUUUCAUCUUUCACUCCUACCUCUAGGGAAGCAGUCCACUGCAUGAAAUAGCCGAAGCAAGUCCACGCACUUUGAGGCAGGCUCAUGCGUAGAUAUAAGAGAAGCGAGGUUUCCCUGCCAUUUGUCUGCCAUUUGUUUCCCUUGACGAUUUCUAUUUGUUAUAAAAUUAUUGUUAUUUCACCGAUAGUCACGUAGGACUGAUGCCAAGGGGCAAUAAGUUUCGGCGGUUCGAGCCUCAAAAUGAACCCACCCUGGAGCUGACCAUUAAAACCGCGUGAAAGAGGCACAACACAUUGCGGCGGUUAGCAAUCGGGUUGCGAAGAAAAUCGGCAUCUGGUGCAGAAACGUGAGCUGGCUAAGUUAUGUGGUUUCGCGCAAAUCGUCAAGCUCGCCCUGACUCCGGCCCCUUUCUUUCUCCGAAAUUGUUAUAAUGAUAUCAAGCAACCGGUUGGUUGGUCCGGCCGAGUGCGCUUGUCCCGUGGGUCAUUACGUGACCUAUACUGGUGGGCGGACAUCCCUACCCAUCGCUGAUCGGCGGCUAUUCUGCGGCUAUUCACCAGGGCCCUGUCGCAGUUGAGCUUUCGGUGGAUGUAUCGCGCCAUUCCUGGGGCGAAGUCCUGCAUGGUCGUGGUGGUAUGGCGCGCGGUUAUUAUUGGUCGGCACCAGAGCUUGGUAGCUUUCCAAGCACAUCAAUUGGGGGGAGUUGAGCGCUGUCCGUCAUGCAUGUAGAUGGCACGAGGCUGUGAGGUCGCAUGUAAUAUCGACAUUUUUGCGACAUCACUGCCUAUGUCGGCUGUGUGUACUCUUCUGCUGCGUUACGCACUCCCUGUGAGACCGCUGCGCGUACCACAAUGGGAAGCGAAUAUUAUUCCUCUGGAAGCAGAGGAAGCUCCUGAACAGGCAAUGCUACACCCAGUGUUGCAAGGCAUAGACAGGGUGGCGACAGUUUUGAGCAGUUUUGACAGGGGUUUGGUAUAUGGCAGCAACGGCCAAUGGGAACAACCAUGCAUCAUUUCGUCAUGCAUAUCCCCGCUGCAACGCGUCCAUCUGCAGCCUCAUCAGCGAGUUCUGGGCUGUGGCUGUGGCUGUGAACGCGCACUCGACCGCGGCUGAUGCCCCAGAAGGCGGCGGCGAUGCCGCCUCGGGAGACACCUGCCCACCUCCCUCAUCCUUGGCGGUCGCGUGUCCAUCACUUCCUCCCCCUCCCCAUCCGCCUCGCACUCCUCCUCCUCCUGCACCUCCUUCCCCCUCCCGCCAAUGCCGCACACUCCACACCACCUCUCCCACGCGGUGAACCAGUGACAGCAGCUCCUGCCGUACUACGGCAAUCUUCCCACUUGGCAGCAGCUGCCCGCCGCCCUCUCCUUUUCUUCCUUCACCAGCCGUAUGUUGAUGCUGCUGCUGCUGCCGCUGCAGCUUUCCCUCCAGCCUCCCCUGCUCCCCCUCCCCCUCCUCCUGCGCCUCACGGCCAUCCUGAGCCCCCCGGACACGCAUCCAUGCGGCCAUCUCCGCCGCGCGGCGAACCACAGGUGCAGGUAGACCAGCCAUCUGCGAGGAGCAGUGUCACCACCACAAUCAGUUACAUACAUACAUACAUACACACAUACGUACACACACAUACGUACGUACAGGCAUAAGUGCAUGGGUCAGCGUGCGUGCGGGCCUCCGUAGCUAGGUCAGGGCCUUACGAUGGAGGGGCCGUUCUAGGGGCCGCCGCAACUGUGGGGCGGGACGGACUUAGGCAGUCAGGCAGUCAGGCAUGCAGGCAUGCAAGGAUGUUGAGGGGCCGGAGUGGCCCCCCACCAAUCCCCAAUCAGGUCAGAUCGGAUCAGGUACCAUAGGGAAAGGGGGACGCGGCCUCGCUACUCGCACCUCAUUAAGCAGUAAUUACUUUAGCGACCACUUACAACCCCACAACCUUUCCAGUGCCGCACACACUGAUGUGUUUAGACGGACAUCAGCCCCUCGUCGACAUCCUGUUCGUCGCCACCUCGCCCACACCCGCUCGACCUGCUCGUCACCCGAACAGCCCUACCGCCCUACGUCGCUGCCGACCCACCUGAGCCACGUUGAGCCCGAAACUCUCAUCUGCGGCGCAAUCUCGCAGCUUGUAAAGGAAGGUGAUGCGAGGAGGCGCCCGCGCCCCCACUGCCUGCGCCUUCGCGUUCUGCACUCCCGCACCACCUCCUCCAUCGCCGCCAUCUUCUCCACCACUUUUCAAUAACGUAACCCCGAACCCCCCGCCUCCCGUCCCCUCAUCUUCCAAUGACUUGAUCGCAGCUGCGUCAGCCAUCUCAACAUCCCCCUGACCACCACCCUCCUUCCCCUCCUCGCUCUGCUCGUCCUGCCGUACAUAUGCCAUAUGGCACGCCCGUACAGCCCGGGGCCACCUUCCCACAGCCGUUUCGGCUAGCUGCGGGUAAUGCGUCACGAACAGAACCAAACACGACGUAACUGACAGCAAGUGGUGCAGGACCGCCUCCGCUACCGCCACGCCAUCGUGGGUAGCCGUACCACGACCCAGCUCGUCCAGUACGACAAGGCUUCGCGGCGUUGCAGCGGCUAGCAGCGCUGCUGUGUCAGACAUCUCCUCGAAAAACGUACUGCAUGAGUGUGUGUAUGAUAUACGGGCAUGUACGGGUAUUUGUGUACGGUGGCAGGAAAGGGGAUCACGGGGUGGGGCGGGGAGUUGCGGCGCCAGGGAACAGGGGGGGCUGGGAGGGAGGGGGGGCUACGAGAGGCGGCAGAGGAGGGCCCUGCGAUUUGAGUUAUGAGCGGCGGUUUGUCACAGUGGCAGUGGCAGUGGCAGGCCGCAGUGGAAAUGCCUUAACGAGGAGGAGCUACGUAAGGGCUAUGAUGUAGUGUAGGAAUCAGUUAACCUAACACUUAACUUUUCAUUAUUGCCCUUCCAUCACUACCAUACCUUUCUCCGCACCUCGCCUGUCCACCUACACCUACACCGCAGUCCCCUCCCACGCCAACGUAAAUACAACCCAAACCUGCAGCAUACAUGCAUACAUGCAUACAUACAUGCAUACAUACAUGCAUAUGUAUGUACAUACAUACAUAUGUACCUACAGGCAGGCAGGAAGGCAGACACUCACAGCAGGUCGCUGCUGUCCGGCGCCUCACCUCCUGCCCAUCAGUAUGUUGUCCGAGGCCCCCAUGCGGGUGUACACGCCGUCGAACGCGGUCAUCUCCAGGGAGGUCGCGGGGACGUAACUGCCCACCUGGGGAGGUGACGUGUGCGUCUGUACGUCUGUACGUCUCUACGUCUGUGUAUCUGAUUGCAGGUCUGAGUGUACGGUGCGUGUGUAGUAAAGUAAAGAUAGCCUACAUUCACGGACAAGUUGUCCCUUACGGCAACUACAUAUAAACUACAUCAGACAGACAGACAGACAGACAGACAGACGGACACAUGGAUACAUCCCGUCCCUCCUACACACCUGCGCCAUAACCACCAGAAGUGCUGCCGUACGAGUGUAGCACGACUUGCCGCCCAUGUUGGGCCCCGUCACGAUCAAACACCGGGUGCCGCCACCUCGACCGUCAAGAUCAACAUCGUUAGGCACCGCCACGGACGUGCCGACGCCGCCACCGCCACUUCCCCGGGCGCGCAUCGCUCCGCUGAGCCUGGCAUCCAGCAUCGGAUGCCGUGCAUCGCGCGCUCGCAGUACAGCUGUCGGCUUCGCGCCGCCGCCGCCGCCGCCUUCCGGAGCCGCCGCCGACGACGACGACGACACUGGUUCGUCCGCCAGGAAGACCGGUCGGCAGUAGCCUGGCGUCGCCGCCAGCGCCGCCAGUGCUGACAGGACAUCGAGUUGCGCCGCUGCUCGUACGGCAGUGAGGGCUCGCGGGUAAGUAGGUGCGAAGUCGGAGAGGAAGUCGGACCAGGAGGACGACUGCGCGGCGGCAAGGCGCUCCCGAGCAACACCAAGAGCCUGUGGCAGUACGAGCAGCAGUACGAGCAGUAUGUAUGUCGUUAUAGGGUGGUUAAGCUUCACCAGCGGCCCCCUUUCCCGAGGCAGUCCCUGCUCUCCCCUGCGAGAGGGGAACCCUAAUCCAUUCAUCCCAUCCGACUUCAGAAUGUAUUCGAUGGGUUCAGCAACUCACCACCAGCAUCCAACCAAAUCUAGCGGAUCAACGGCGCCUCAACUUAGUUCCUGGUCAGCCCGGAAGUUGAUUGUAUCACGUCCUACAUCGUCCAUAAGAUGGGGGGCCACCUCCCAUUUCAACACUUCUCAAACACCCGAGAAGUCGGCAGGCGGAUUUGAGCAGUAUAACCAGCAGUGAAAGCACAAAGUUAGAAUCAGCAACAGGAAAAGGAGCAGCAGAGAAAGCUCACCUACCUACCUACUCGCCCACCUACAUACCGGAAAAAACAGUAAAACGAUGCCCCCCCCCUGGCCCCCCCCAUUCAACCCCCAGCUCCAAUACCUGCAGUCCCGCAGCGACUUCAGGCGGGUGGUAGCGAUGGAACUUCUUCGUGGAGCAGACCUGCCGGAUAUGUCGGGGAAGAGGGAGGAGAGGGAAAAGAAGGUCUAGUAUCGGGUUAUCCUAAUAAUAAUCAUUCACAAUAAAAUAAAAAAUGGAAGUCUCCUAGGGUUUGCAUUUUCUUUAUCAUUGUCAUACCGCGGUGAUGAUGACCGGGCGGCGCCCCUCAGGACGCUCAGGGUUUUGAAUUUUUGAUGCAGGAAAAUAACUUUGUAAAGGAAAUGAAUUCAUGUAAAAAACAACUGAUGGAUGAUGACGAGGUCAAACAGAGGGAGGGGAGCAAGGAAAGAAAAACAUCGCUGACUUUAUAUGAAUUGAUUAAAUAAACGAGAAGAAACAAAAAACAAAAAAAGACAUGUCAGGACAAAACCCGUACCUUAUGCCAUGUUUUCGGCACCCUCUUCUCCGCCUCCACGGGCACCUCCACAAGGUGGCUGCCCUGGUUCUGAAUGGUGACGUACGACACAGCGGGGAGACCCACCGCACGCGCCAGGGAGGGAAGCAGACUCUAUUUCCGGUGGGAGGGGUUUUGUGCGGCGGCGGGAGAGAGGGGGGGAGUAGGGUCAAUUGGUAAUAACUGGAAGCCGAGACACAGUGUAGAAAAUCAAAACCCAAAAAAAAGUAAAAAAAUGUGCACAUACAUACAGACCAGGCAGGCGGGCGGCUGGCAGAGGUUAAGGCCUGACAUCUGCUCCCGGAGUGACCGGGUUCUAAUCCGCCUGCCAACUCCUCGGGUGUUUGAGGAGUGUUGAAAUGGGAGGUAGCCCCCCAUCUUAUGGACGAUGUAGGACGUGAAAAUAUCUACUUGCGAGCUGGCCAGGAACUAAGCUGAUGCGGCGUUGAUCCGCUAGAUUUGGUUGGAUGCUGGUGGUGAGUUGCCGAACCCAACGAAUACAUUCUGAAGUCGGAUGGGGUGACGGAUUAGGGUGCCCCUCUAGCAGGGGAGAGUAGGGAACUGCCCCGGGAAAGGGGGCCGCUGGUGAAGCUAUACCACCCUGUAACAACAUACAGACCACACACAUUGCUUAAGACGGAGCAUGAGCACAGUGCAAACAUCAAGUGUCGCAAUCCUCUACGUGGACCUGGACCUGGACCUGGACACGAAACCCAAGGCGACAUGGGAGCACACGGCCGCAUUUCCGCCUUCCCCUUUCCUCCGCCCGUCUUUCCCCGAUACCACACGUGCACACACACACACGCACACACGCACGCACGCACGCGCACACACACACACACACACGUAACACAUACACACGCCCCGUGGCGGGCCUUUAGCGAAUGCGGGUUCACCUGCAAGUGCUCCUCCGCCCCCCGUACGGCGUCCUUGGCUCCCCACACAACCGGGAACCUGAGGUGGGGCAAACAACAGACCAGCAGCAGUAGCAGCAGUAGCAGUAGAGUAGCAGCAGUAGCAGUAGAGUAGCAGCAGUAGCAGUAGUAGCAGCAGCAGUAGUAGCAGUAGUAGCAGCAGUAGUAGCAGCAGUAGCAGUUGUAGCCCUCAGCACCAGGAAGAAAGAGCGAGAUGCGAGGGCGAGGGCGAGGGGUGAUACAGGGAUGACACGCGGAGGCCCUUGCGGCCAGUGUAAUCUGGUUGCUCUUGAAUGAAAGGAAGAGAAAGAGUCAACUCUACCACCGGACCACCCGGCCGCCGCGGCGGCCGCCCCCCCCCCCGGUGUCCCCACCACACACCGGGUUCGGUCCGCAAACAGGGCGUCAAAGUCGUUGGCAGCCGCUGCCCGGGUAUCCAACGGCUGUAGCAGCGCCGCUAGCGCCUCCGCCAGCCCCUUACUCGCUACCUGCCGCAGCAGCAGCCGCAGCAGCGGAGAGCCAACACGGAGAUCGGCUCCAUCCGACAGUCCCGACGGGGUUCUGCAGGAGUAAUUGUCGUCAUUGGCGCCGCCAGCGUCCUCAUCGUCGUACGGCAGGUCCUCUGGCGGGUCCGUCAGGGGCUGUAGCCCGAGGUCCGUACGGAGCUGUUGAUGUGGCGGCGGGGAGGGGAGGGGAGGGGGGGUUGAUGCGCCACGAUGUCUGGGCACUACACUAGCCAACAGCCCAACACAGCCCCACUCCGCCAUGCCCUGCGUGUGCGAGCUGUGUGUGUGUUUUACGCACCCUCCGAGGUUGCGUUAAUCUCCUACGGUGUAACCUACGGUGUAACCUAGGGUGCCCCCAUACAUACAUGAGGGUGCCCCCAUACAUACAUGCAGGCGGCUGGCAGAAGUUAAGGCCUGACUUCUGCUCCCAGUCGAUCCAGUCGACCCGGGUUCAAAUCCGCCUGCCAGCUCCUCGGGUGUUUGAGGAGUGAUGAAAUGGGAGGUGGCCCCCCAUCAUAUGGACGGUGUAGGACGUGAUAAUAUCAACUUGCGAGCUGACCAGGAACUAAGUUGAUGCGCCGUUGAUCCGCUAGAUUUGGUUGGAUGCUGGUGGUGAGUUGCCGAACCCAACGAAUACAUUCUGAAGUCGGAUGGGGUGACGGAUUAGGGUGCCCCUCUAGCAGGGGAGAGCAGGGACUGCCCCGGGAAAGGGGGCCGCUGGCGAAGUUAACCACCCUGUAACAACAUACAUACAUGAGGCAGGCGGCUGGCAGAUGUUAAGGCCUGACUUCUGCUCCCGGGGUGUCCGGGUUCAAAUCUGCCUGCCGACCUCUUGGGUAUGUGAGAGGUGAUGAAAUGGGAGGCGGCCCCCCAUCUUAUGGACGGUGUAGGACGUGAUGAUAUCAUAUCAACUUGCGAGCUGACCAGGAACUAAGUUGAGGCGCCGUUGAUCCGCUAGAUUUGGUUGGAUGCUGGUGGUGAGUUGCUGAACCCAACGAAUACAUUCUGAAAUUGGAUGGGGUGAAUGGAUUAGGGCGCCCCUCUCGCAGGGGAGAGCAGGGAACUGCCUCGGGAAAGGGGGCCGCUGGUGAAGCUAUACCACCCUGUAACAACAUACAUACAUAUCUGGAGCCCUGAUGAGGGGGCCCAUAC
rnacentral:lncRNA from 1 species